rnacentral:rRNA from 1 species
GGUAGCCGGCCUGAGAGGGNGACCGGCCACACUGGGACUGANACACGGCCCAGACUCCUACGGGAGGCAGCAGUGGGGAAUAUUGSGCAAUGGNNGNAACNCUGACCCAGCGACGCCGCGUGCGGGAUGAAGGCCUUCGGGUUGUAAACCGCUUUCAGCANGGAAGAAGCGAAAGUGACGGUACNUGCAGAAGAAGCACCGGCUAACUAUGUGCCAGCAGCCGCGGUAAUACAUAGGGUGCAAGCGUUGUCCGGAAUUAUUGGGCGUAAAGAGCUCGUAGGUGGUUCGUCACGUCGGAUGUGAAAAUCUGGGGCUNAACCCCNNACCUGCAUUCGAUACGGGCRARCUAGAGUGUGGUAGGGGA